GCCCCGUAUUAGGCAGUAGCUCCUCGCUUAUAAAAAAGUGAGGAGAGGAAAGUCCGAACACUUACCCUGUUUCAAGGGUUAAAAAGGUAGCGGGUAACGCCCGUCGUGGGUAACCAUAGAGGUGCGAGCAGAGACGCCACAGAACGAAAGCGAUGUGGGCGAUCUUCGCAAGAGGAUCGUAGUCCCGCGCAAGCGGGGGUGAAACGGCUAAAUCCUUACCCGAGUGCAAGGCCGUACCCAAUGCUCCGCAUUGGACAUUGCAAUAUUUAAAUAUUUAAAUGUCCAACGCGGAGCGUUGGGGGUGCCGCUCGAGCCGUUCGGCAACGGACGGCCCAGAUAAAUUACUGCUGCUCCGUCCGAAGAGGACGGGGAACAGAAUUCGGCUUAUCGAUACAGGGUUCAU
rnacentral:RNase_P_RNA from 5 species